ACGCUGGCGGCAUGCCUUACACAUGCAAGUCGAACGGCAGCACGGGAGCAAUCCUGGCGGCGAGUGGCGAACGGGUGAGUAAAGUAUCGGAACGUGCCCAGUCGUGGGGGAUAACGUAGCGAAAGUUACGCUAAUACCGCAUACGAUCUAUGGAUGAAAGCGGGGGAUCGCAAGACCUCGCGCGAUUGGAGCGGCUGAUAUCAGAUUAGGUAGUUGGUGGGGUAAAGGCUCACCAAGCCGACGAUCUGUAGCUGGUCUGAGAGGACGACCAGCCACACUGGGACUGAGACACGGCCCAGACUCCUACGGGAGGCAGCAGUGGGGAAUUUUGGACAAUGGGCGCAAGCCUGAUCCAGCCAUGCCGCGUGCAGGAUGAAGGCCUUCGGGUUGUAAACUGCUUUUGUACGGAACGAAAAGGUUUGGCCUAAUAAGUUGAACUCAUGACGGUACCGUAAGAAUAAGCACCGGCUAACUACGUGCCAGCAGCCGCGGUAAUACGUAGGGUGCGAGCGUUAAUCGGAAUUACUGGGCGUAAAGCGUGCGCAGGCGGUUAUGUAAGACAGAUGUGAAAUCCC
rnacentral:rRNA from 1 species